AGAAGACUCAUGCUAUCACCUCACUGUUAAGGCCCUUAAAGUACUGUUAAGCACCUAUACUGCCAUCAAAAUAAAAUAAAAAUCCUCCUGGAUUCACAUGAGCCAUGCCAAACUACACGGAGACAAUUGGGGAGGACGACCCCUAUAGGUGACCUGAAAAUAAGGAUUUCCAAGGCCAGUUUCCAGGGCCCUGAAACAGACAUUUUCACAAAGAAGAUAGCUUUUCCCCCAAGAUCAUGGAUCAAGAGAACCCAUUUUCCAUAGAAAAACUCCUUUUUUCUUUUAACCUCCACCCCAACAGGAUCCUUUGUAAGCACUUCUUUUAAGCCUCACCCUUCAAGGACUGUACAUGGGAAGCUGAGACCGCCUCAGCCUAUCCCAUUUUCCCUUUUAAUCUUCCACUGUGACUCUUCUUCCAAACUGUGCCUUGCUCUUACUAACCCUUACUGCUUUUCCAGCAGGUCAGGCACAGACCCAGCAUGCCUUUGCCUCGGUCUUUCAAACUCCGGCCAGAUUAACUCAUCAAUCUAAUUGCUGGUUAUGCCAACAUCUAGAUCACGCAAAGGAACCUGAACUCAUUUUUGUUGCUGCCAAUGUGCGUGCCCGGUGGAAGCAGUCCAGAAGAUGGCUGUGGUGAGGCGUCUGUAACCACAGAAAAAACAUCACGCUGCAUCUCUUGCUGGUGAGUCAACUGGAUGCAAAAACACCUCUGGAAGCUCAAGAACUGUCUUUUGCUCAGAUGUCAUUUUUGCACCUCUUCAAUGAUGCUGACAGUAACUCUUAUGAUGUCAACGCUUGUAAAAUCACCAGGUGUUACGUAUGGCUCACAAGCCAGGCCGGUGCAACUUGGGGUAGCUCACUGGAUCCCCUUGUUAAGCUGCCAGACAGUAAAGAUUACAUAUGGAUAGACCAAAAAUCUGGGCUGAAUUAGGUGACAAAACUAAGCCCUAUAACUGCCAGAACUGGACCAAAGUCCUGUUUAUAUCAAAUAUUUUGCAAAUUGUUCUGUUCCCACAGACUGGCAGGGACACGUGGAAAUGACAAUGAGAAAGAAAAGACACAGCAAACUCCAGUGGUGGGACAAAUGCUAUCCAACUACAUAGGUUGAGGUUACAACAAUGGUAAAGAAAUUAGUAACUGAGAUUAUAUCUCAUUUGGGUAUUCCUUUAUGGAUUGAAUCAGAUCGAGGGAGUCAUUUUAUAGCAGAAAUAAAGCACUUGCUUGCAAAGGCUCUGGGAUACUUAUUAAAAUUUUAUAUCCCAUAUAAUCCCCAAUCUUCAAGGCAAGUGAAAUAUAAAAAUCUCGACAUGGAAAGGACUUUGGGAAAAGUCUGUCAAGACACUGGAUUUAAAUGGCCAGAAGCAUUACCUUUGGCUGUUACAAAAAUCCAGACUACUCCAAGUAUUGGAGAUAUGGAUUAAUCCCUUUUGAAAUAGUGUUUGGUCACCCCAUGCCACUGAUACCUCUAAACCUUCCAUUCCUGGGAAGCUCAUACACUCCAACCUGGCCCUAUCUGUAAAUAACACUGGUCUGUUUAUCUUGUGUAGUAAUAAAGCACACAGGUGGUUCCCACCUAGAUGGUCAGGAUGCUGUGGACUUGGUUAUCUGAUAACCUCUGCUACCAGGUACUCCACUUUAAAUGACAAACUUGGGCUCUUUUGUUCAUAAAAUGGUACCACACAAAUGUACUAGACACAAUAUUAUUUUUAAAAACCCACUUGUAUAUCACAAUUCUAAGUUCUUUUAGGUGCUCAGGACUCUUUUCCUGGCAUUUGGAGCUUAUGAGAUUGAAAAGGCAGUUUUGAAUCUCUCCAUGAUAGAAGAACAGUUCAUCAAUCUCACUAUGCAAGCACUGAGAGCACUUCAGACAGAAGUCAACAGCCUAACCUCUGUUGUAUUUGAAAACCACUGCCCCCUGGAUGCCCUGACAGCCCAACAGGGAGGAGCUUGCUCGAUUAUUGGCAAAAAAAAUGGUGUUUCUAUGUAAAGCACUCAGGGUUCUAUGUAAAACACUCAGGGCAAGUAGAGACUGAUCUACACCCCUUAAAAGAUAAAAGUUAUCCAUCAGAUAAAUGAAGUGAAACCAUUCUAUUGGUCUGACCCAUUCCCAGGAAUGGGAGACUGGUUUAACAGAAUGUGAGAAAAUGUGCUUAGCUCUGUUCUUUUCUACUUAUCUAUUUUUUAUUUUUUUUAGGUUACUCAAGCGAAGCAGUGGGAGUAGAGAAGGAACAAAGGAAUCUGUAACUGGUUGUGAUCAAUUAGUUGUAAAUACCACUGCACACAGACCAGCCAAAACAUGUUGAGGCCAGAAAUCUUUUAAAGCCAGUUGUCCCUCUUGCAAGGAUUAGCAAUUAAACCAGAUGACAUAAUCUGCAAAUCUCCUUAGCCAGGACCACAUAAACCACCACAAAUCACAACCUGCUGGAAGGGAACAAAUGCCCGGGGCUACACAGGCAACCCCUGGGGACAAUGGUGAUGUCUCCCUUCAGGACGCUGCUGGUCAAGUUUGUGACAACGUGGCAGUGUGACACAGACUGACCACAUGUCAAUCCAUGUGCGUUAAAUAUAAGUGCAAUUUAAUUCUCCUCCUCCAUAUUUUAGAGAAAAAAUAAAUACAAUAAAUUCUUCUGGUA